UCUCCGCGGCCGGGACGGACCACCCUGUCUGGGUUGACUUCAGAUUAAUACCGCCUACCACCACUACAACGGUGGGAUUGAGACUUGAGCUGCCGCGGGAUUAGGCCUACGUUAAAAAUAAACCCCACUGUGCGGCCUUUGAUUGGUCCAGUGUUAAAAUAGGAUGCCAAAGGAUUAGAAUGGCUCUCUGCAGCACAAAUAGCCAGUGUUCUUUGGUGCGUGUUGGAUGGGAAUUGGGAAGCCUGUCGUCUCUACCUCUGCAGGCAAUAGCCCUCAAAGUCAACGCUGGACCCAUGUUUGGCAACGCCCUCUUCCAGCUUCCAGUGGAGGAGACGGAUCAUCUAAGGAGCAACAAGAGCAUCAUGGACCCAGGUGUCUGGUGUCCGGAAUCCCUGUGGGCCCCAGGCCCCGCCCCCUCCUCGCUGGCGGCCAAAGGGUUCCGUAAAGUUCAGCCUAACUUGAGCAGGAGGCCGGCCGCACAGGGGAAUGCCAGCCAGUCCUCUCUCCCUCCGUUGUCCCCCCCUGCUCCUCUCCGACCCUUCACCUCUUCUCCUGGAGGUCGACAUCGAGGUCUCCCCCUCUCCCCCUCCUUCCCUCCUCCCACUACUCCCUCCAGCCCUCCCUCCUCCACCUCGGCAUUUGGCUUGGAGCUCAGGCACAGUCGGAGUGCAGAUCACAUCAGCAGCGACCAGAGAAGCUGCAGCCCCUUGGAUCAUACCUCCACCAGAACGAGAGGAAGGGACUGGUAUCGUAACAUGUACAACAAGAUUCAUGUGGUCCAAAAAGCAGAUCCGGAUUCGGCAGAAGCCUACAGCAGCACUAAGGGUAUCGCAAACAAAGCGUUGUCUAGCAACAGCCCUGACCCCGGCCACCUCCCCCCAAGCCCGGGCAGCGGCCGGUCGUCUCCCGCCGCUCACAGAGACAGGAGGGAGGACUGUGGGCGGUACCGAGCGCAGCCCCGCAGCAUCUUCGACUAUGAGCCGGGGGCCUCGUCUGUCCUGGAGCGAGAGCAGCCGUCCCUCCAUCCCUCUGAUCUGUCUGUUGAGGAUGAGCCAUGGUUCAGGUUUUUUGCCGAGUUAGAGUUUGGCCGCCCGCCUCCCAAGAAAACUCUUGACGAGAUGCUGAACGAAGAUUCUCCUGUUCCUGACACGUUAUCCAGCCGUUUGAGUGGGGAAGACAGAUUCAUACAAAGUCCUGCAAGUUCGUCUGAUGACUAUAUCGACUGGGGGAAAUCUCAAUCAUCAAUAUCCCACUCCUCCAGCUGCCAUACAGCCAAUCACAGCCCAGUCAGAAGUAACCCGACCAAUCAGGGUCAGAUGUGGCCUUCAGCGCCCGCCAACAGCUGUGCUUCACCUAUCAAAAGCAGAGGUGGGGGCGUCCAUUUUGACGACUGUCGCACACUCUUAAGCAUGCAACACAGAGCUCAUGACCUGCAGCACACUGACACAGAACCACUGCUGCCUCUGCUCCGUCACAAAGAAGCUCACAACACAGACGGCGAGGCCACCACAGCACUGAGCUCUGUCAGCACCACGUGUAUAGCAGACGGAUGGGGGGAGGAAGGAGAUGGGAAGAAGGAGAGAGAUAUGAACAAUCAAAGGGUGAUAGCAGAGUUGGGAAACAUGGAAGAAAAAGAGAUGACCAAAACAUCCAAACUUUUGACCAAAAGCACCACUUGGCCCGAGGAGAUGAACAGGAGGGUGAGCUGCCAGGCAAAGGACGAGGUUCGACCUGUAGAGGAGGUGGACAAGAGAGGAGGAGAGGAAGAGGGAUGCCCCACCUCUGAACGUGUCUAUUGGAUAGAGGCCACAGAGGGACGAAGAGAGGAGGGACCGCAGGUGGGAGGAGAGCUGGUUAGGACUGAUGUAGAAGAGAAUAAGGGGGAAGAAGAGGAGGAGAGGGGAGAACGACAGACCCAGAGGAUCAGGAGAAGCAAGGAGCCAGGAGCAGCGCAUGUUGUCCCCCCCCCUCGCUCCAAAAGUGUCAGCUCUUUCACACAGGGAUCGAAGCACAGAGAGGGCCAGCGACAGAGUACCCACACUUCAGCUGGCUUUCUUAAUCUGUACCGCUCUAUGCACAAUAUUAACAGAAAGGAGGUGAUGUCAGGGCAUUUGCCCAAGGCUGUGUGUGAUAUACAGGCUCGCAUAUUGGCUUACAAAGAAGAGAUGGUCAAUGACCAGCUGAACAAGGCUGAACCCCGAAUGGUUCCGCUCCACGCUGGAGAGCAGGGGACAGAACAUGGUGGAGCCCCGAGGGCGCCCACCGUGCAGAACCGCAUCUCUCAGUUUCAACGCCUGAUAAACAAAUCUCAGUCCAUGCCAAACCUGGGAUGUCGGGGAGGAGGAGAGAGAUGUGCGAGGGACAGAGUAGGGGAGGAGGCUGGACACGGUCAAGGCCACAUGCCAAACUAUAAACCUCCCAAACACGGCCCUGCCUUGCGCCUGGAGAGGCCGGGGGUCCGAGCCCUAGAGAGCCGGCGUGCACCUGAAGGCCGGUCCACCGUUAUCCAUAAGCCAGCAGUGUUACACUUCCUGGAUAAGAAGGAACCCUCACAGACCAACAACGGCCCUCAGAACUGCUCCGUGGUCCAACAGUUCAACCACAACACUCUUCUAUGCUUCGACCAGGAACACAUAGGCAAGAGCAGGCAUGGUACUUCACAUAAUGUACAUGGAGAUAGCAGACAUUGCAAUGAGACGUGCACAGAUUCCCCACCCGUACUCUAUAUAAACUCAAGAAUGCAAGAUGGGACACAUGCAGGCCACGUCAACUACAUGCACCAUCGCAAACAUCUCCACAGCCAAUGUAGCGAGGUAAGAGACCAGUACAGCAGCCUGCAUCAAACCCCUUCACGGGAAUGCAAGGUUGAGGAAGGCAGCCUGGCAUUGGACUGGUUAGUGUACAAUGGCUCUUCUGUGUACAGCAAAAGUGAGCAGGAAAGAAUAUCUUAUUCCUCCCAUCCGCCCCGUUUCUCUCCUUCUAACGACCACAAGAACCCUUUGCCAUGCAGGCCUUCCCCGCCUGUCCCUCAGAGUCCUAACCUCUGUGGAGGCAUCGGUCAUCAGAGGUCAGAUCAUUACCAGCCUGCAAGCCUCCUCAGUCCCACUCCUUAUCUGAGCCAGGGAGCUCCAGCCUUGAGCAAAUCGCCAAUUCCAAGAGCUAUGAGUCCCUGUGUGAUGCCAAACUCCUCAGUCCCUGACCCCUGCAGGCUUACUGGUAACCCUGUAAGUACACAGCAAGCAAGACAGUUCUUUGCAGGGCUCCAGUGCAAAUCUGAUGGAUCCACCGCCCCCACAGAGCACAGGAGAUACACUUCAUCCUCUCAGAAACCUGCUGUCCCAACCAGGGAGCCCAUUAACAGGUCCCGCAGUCCCCUUGGCCCCCUUCCAACACACAGAGAAUGUGGUAGGCGGUCCACUCCUUGUUCUAAGGUGUUAGAUAGCCCUCACCCAACCCCUGGUUACUUUGCCGUUGCAGACUCUAGUCAACCUCUAGAUCCCUGCAGAGCCCCCCCCGUCCACCCGGACCCCUGCAGAGCCCCCCGCUCCACCAGCUCCGUGUUCCUGGCCCUGGAGCGCGCCCUCAGCGGGAUCUGGGAGUACCUGAGAGAGGAGGGGGAGGAGGGGGAGGAGCAUGAGCAGGAGGAGGGAGAGGAGGAGGAGGGAGAAGAAGACAGCAGAGGGACGCCACUGGCCCCUGAGCGGGGCUCGUCCCUCUGGGCGGUGGAACAUCAGCGCACGGCACACUCUGGCCGCGGGAGGGGCCCCAGGGCGGGGGCGGAGAGGACCAGGAGAGCAGGAACUAACCAAUGGGAGCUGGACGUUGGCGUACGGUGUACCAACAGCUUCUCCAAUGAUCACACUGUAGCUAGCUACGACCGGCAGGACAGAAGAGAGGAGCCUGGGAUCUGCCAAGAGCCACCAAAGACUACGUUCAGAAACUCAGUCAUCCCUGACAGAAAGUCUGUUGCUGAGUGCGCCAGGGUUCUCUACAACUUUGAUGCUCACACCUCAAAGGAGCUGUCCCUGAGGAAAGGCGAUGUGGUGACCAUCACCAGACUGGUGGACAGUAACUGGUAUGAAGGCCAGCUCAGGAGAGCAGUGGGGAUAUUCCCUGUCUCCUAUGUCCAGAAGAUCUGUUCCCAGCCCCGUCGCCCCCCCCCACCCUCCACCCCGUCCCGCUCCUCCGUCCUGGGGGAGGCGGUGGUCCGCUUUAACUUCACAGCCGACACCCCAGUAGAGCUGUCCCUGUGUAAGGGAGAAGGCGUAGUGAUACUGAGAAAGGUGGAUCAGAACUGGUAUGAAGGCUGUGUCCCGGGCGGCCAGCGAAGGGGGAUAUUCCCCGUCUCUUAUGUCUCUGCGCCCUACGGCCAGCCUAGGUGGCAGACUCCCGUAGCGGACUCUGAACAGAGGGAGGUUGCGGUGAUAGGCAAACCUCCACGUAGCCCCAUCCCCUCCAGACGAAUCUGUCACUCCCCCCCCCGGGGCCCCACGCACUCUCCUGCUCCCAGGGUACAGCGCCAAGCGUUCACUCAAGAAGGCCUCCAGUGUGGAGGAGAAGCGUUCAAAGUGCUGUACAACUACAACCCUCACAACGAGGACGAGUUGGAGCUGACGGAGGGAGACACCAUCGACGUGAUGGAGCAGUGUGACGACGGCUGGUUUGUAGGUAGGACAGUGAGGCUCAUGGUGGACAGUGGGACCUCAGAGAGAGGCUGUGAGCCUCAUGGUGGACAGCAUGGACCUCAGAGAGAGGCUGUGAGGCUCAUUUUGGACAGCAGGACCUCGGAGAGAGGCAGUGAGGCUCAUGGUGGACAGCAUGGACCUCAGAGAGAGGCUGUGAGGCUCAUGGUGGACAGCAGGACCUCAGCGAGAGGCUGUGAGGUUCAUGGUGGACAGCAUGGACCUCAGAGAGAGGCUGUGAGGCUCAUGGUGGACAACAUUGACCUCAGAGAGAGGCUGUGAGACUCAUGGUGGACAGCAGGACCUCAGGGAGAAGCUGUGGGUACUAGAGGGUACAAGGGGUACUAGAGGUACUAGAGGUACUAGGGGUACUCGGGGUACUAGACGGUACUAGAGGGUACUUGGGGUACUAGAGGGUACUAGGGGUACUAGAAGUACUAGGGGUAUUGGAGGUACCAGAGGUACUAGGGGGACUAGGGGUACUGUGGCGCAUUUCCCCCGAGGGUGCGGGUUGGUUCACUCUGGAAAGGUGCGGCACGGGUCGCGUUUCCGUGGCCAAUAGUGGGCGUGAUCCAGGGCCAUAUUGAGCCAUACUCGUCUCGCAGUACUCCUCCGUUGGGGUACUGAAACGCCUGAAAGGGUGCCAGGCUGCCGGCAAAUUCGAGCUACACCUGCCGCCUGUUGAUUAGUCGACAGAAUCGCACUUCUGUGCGACAGGGGGAUAAUAACAAACAAACACAUUACCCUCAAGGUAUUUCUUGGCAACGGCGAAAGCUUAGUUUAUUGAAGAAAAUUUUGCACAAAAGUUUGCCGUCCUUCUUGGAUGUCCUACGUUGUUGCUCCUUGUUCAUUGUGCGUAUUCUUCUUUUUCCUUGGAUUUAUUAGGAGGCUACACUGUUGGGGGCUGCUAUUCAUACGGUUCAUCUACGUCUCGUUUUCUGGAACGCCGCCAUUUGCACGACCGAUCUCGCCUAGUAUGGCCGCCCACACCGCUCAUCUGAAUGUUAGAGAGAGACAGAGAUAUCUGGAAAAAAAAAUCGAUCUUAGGCUCCGAUCCUUAUUUGUUUUUUUUGUCGAUUAGUAUCGGCCUCACGCUUGCCUCAAAUCAUUUUUCAUGACAUAUAUAUUCAUUUAGUCCACAAUCCCUCCCCAUACAGUGGAGAUAUCUUGAAAGCGUAAAGAGCACUGAUGCCUACCAAUAUGCUUUGGCUGGAUGGGUGAAGGACGCUAAAGUGAGGCAAUGAGGAAUAAUCUUUAUCUGAUAGAAGUUGGUACCAUAUAUUUGUGACUUCUUGUGAACAGUUUGUGGUGGGUUACUACUAUCAUUGAUCGUUGAGAUCAGUCAUCAAAUCAUAGACGAUAAUUUCGCCGAGGACGCUUGGGACGAGUUUUCUUCAAGAUUCAUUUUGUACCCACAACAAAACCCGAUUUGAAUUAUUAUGGAUUAUUUUGGACAAUGAAUGAGGUAUUAAUACCAAUACUCUUUGGCUGUGACGUUGUCAACAUUAGGUAUAUGGAGCAGAACAUAGUGGGUCAUAUGUCACGUUUUUUGUAUGCAUUUUAUUCAUUAGUAAGCUACAUGGAUAUGCCAUCUUUCAGAACCUUUCAUUACCUGCACUAAAGAGAAUAAAAGAGUGCAUCCUCAUUGUUUGAUUGUGGUCAUAGGUGUUGUUGUUGGUGCUGAGUUACCACUGAAAUCAGUGGGUCAGUGGGUGGGAUCGGUUGUCCAGAUGGCGGCGCAAAGCUACAGUGACGUCACGUGAACCAAACGAAUAAGAUCAUGAUGUUUAGGUAGCUGCUAUGGCGAUCGCCAUCCGGCUUUAACCCCACCCUACCAUAAGGGUACUGUCAGGGGUGGAAACGCGAGCCGUAACUGAGCUGGGUUAAACCGCUAUACCCUCACUACUUUGCUGUGGCGUGUGGGUCCGAAGCGUACCCGCUGGUGGAAAAGGGGCAGGUACUAGAGGGACUAGAGGUACUAGGGGUACUGUGGGGUACAAGGAGGUACUAGGGGUACUAGGGGUACUAGAGGGUACUAGGGGUACUAGAGGCACUAGGGGUACUAGAGGUACUAGGGGUACUGUGGGGUACUAUAGGUGCUAGGGGUACUAGCGGUACUAGGGGUACUAGGGGUACUAGAGGUACUAGGGGUACUAGAGGUACUAGUGGUCCUAGUGGUACUAGAGGUACUAGAGGCACUAGGGUUGCUAGGGGUACUAGACUACACUGGUGAAGAUAGGUAAGAUUCACAACUUUUGAUUAAAAGAAAGUAUCAAGCUUAAACACUAAAACAUAUGUGUUGUUUGUUUGUGUGCUUUGUGUAUUUUUGUGUAUUUGCGUGUAUUUGUGUUUGUCAGGCACUUCCAGACGGAGCCGUUUCUUUGGGACAUUUCCAGGGAAUUACGUCAGACGUCUGUGACCUCUGACCCCGUAGGCUGACCAGCGAUCAAAUUUAUUUUCUGUGUUUGUGUAUGUGUCUGUGUGUGUGUCUGCAUGGUGUGUAUUUGUUGGUGUCCUUGCAUCAUCCCCAAUGUAAUGUGAUGACCUUUACUUAUUAUUUAUUCUUUUGAAAGCGAUCUAUUUUAUUUUUGUUAAUAAUGUUGUCAAAAAGUGUGUCAUGUUUGUGGAACGGACAAGUGUCAAGGAAUUCUCAGCGAUAGGAUUAGAUUAAGAUUGUGUUGUUUCCAGAGAUUUCCUUUAAUAAGGAAUAUGUGUGUACACAAUGUAUGCUUUAGUAGAUGUUGGCUUAUUUAAGAGCAGAUCACUGCCAUUCAUGCUGAAAAGGUGUAGGAAUACGAUCGGAAGAUGCUAGCAUUGCUAUGUGAAAUAACCAGUCUGCAACAGUUAGUUGUGGAACGGACUAAAUAUGAAUAUGGAACUGCUUUUCUGAAGCAAGACAUAUGAAAUAACAUGUUUUAUAACUUAAAAGUCAACGUGAGAGGCAAGGGAGUAUCUGGUAAUUACAAGAAGUGGAAACAUAUAUCCGUCAAAUGCUUUCUGUGACUGACCUAUCUGGAUGUUAUCCUCGGUCAGUGCAGAUCCACUCUGGAAAGAUUUUUUUUUUUCCAUUGUUUUUGAAAUAGAAGAGAUACUGUUGAUGUAAGUAAUUGAAAUAAAAUGAUAUCCCAAAAUGGUUCAAA